rnacentral:rRNA from 1 species
CCUACGGGGGGCUGCAGUGGGGAAUAUUGGACAAUGGGCGAAAGCCUGAUCCAGCCAUGCCGCGUGUGUGAAGAAGGCCUUCGGGUUGUAAAGCACUUUCAGUGGGGAAGAAAGCCUUGGGGCUAAUACCCUCGAGGAAGGACAUCACCCACAGAAGAAGCACCGGCUAACUCCGUGCCAGCAGCCGCGGUAAUACGGAGGGUGCGAGCGUUAAUCGGAAUUACUGGGCGUAAAGCGCGCGUAGGCGGUCUGAUAAGCCGGUUGUGAAAGCCCCGGGCUCAACCUGGGAACGGCAUCCGGAACUGUCAGGGUAGAGGGCAGGAGAGGAAGGUAAAAUUCCCGGUGUAGCGGUGAAAUGCGAAGAGAUCGGGAGGAAUACCAGUGGCGAAGGCGGCCUUCUGGACUGACACUGACGCUGAGGUGCGAAAGCGUGGGUAGCAAACAGGAUUAGAUACCCUAGUAGUC